UGGCUCAAAUCGGUUAAGUUUUGAUUGCAUUACUAGCAGAUGUAAGUAUGUUAUACUAAUUUUUAGACCUAGUUGAGCCAGUGAAAAUUUUUAAGUGAAAUAGCUUAAAAUUCUCAAGUUUUAGUCAUGCAAUGCAUGAUGGGAAUAUGAUCGCUGUCACUUUGCCGCCGUAUGCAUCUGUGCUUUUUGCCGAGAAGACGUCACUUUUUCGCCGCGCACCGGACAGUCCAGUCUGCAAAAACUCGCCACAGACGCAUCUUGGUGGUGACACGGCCCGAUCCACGCUGAGCGAGAGACACGCACUCGGUGGGAAGAAGAGUGUCAUAGGAAGAGAUUCCUUUGAAACCAGUAUCCUGAUAUUGGAAGUUGUCCAAAACAAGCCUGCCAUCAGCCAGAUGUUACAUCGAUGGCCAGCUCUUUUCACAGAGUGUAAUACAAAAAGAUGUAUGUGUCACUGUAAUGUUAAAUACAAUUUGUCCAUAGAUUCUUGUUUUUAGCUUCAUAUGCAAUUCAUAGUUUGUUUCAGGUUUAUUACGAGUUCUCCAGAGUGGUGGGGAAAAGUCUGCAAGAUAAUUUCUUUGAACUUGACCGUUUCUCUCCGAGGUUGAUCGACAUCUUUCGGAAGAAGAAAGGCCUUACCGGCCAGCUUUUGGCUGAGCUUUUACGUCAGACAAAGACCACUGAGCCAACAGACAUCAGGUGCCCAUGUCUUUGGGGACUGCCUGUCAUCUUGGCGGAUGAUUCUUCUGCCUUCUUCAGAACAUGCUCUGAUGUAACUGAGAAGGACUCGUACAGUGAAACUUCAGUGGGAAUUCUCUGCCUUGGUUAAGAAAAUACCCAGCUCAACCCAUCCAGAGUAGGGAUCAUCUUGGAAGGGUCUGUGGUAAUGGAUGAACUGUCAAACCUACCUCAGGCCUUCUGUGUCCUUUUUGGACUGAUCUAUGCCCUACACCUGGACUACCCCAAGUGCAUGAAAAACCCUUUCAAUUUUAUUCAGCAAGUAAUGCUCAAACUGGUUAAAAGUGAGCUGGUACCCAAAAUUAAAACUUUGAAAAAUCAGCUGGAAGCAUAUAUCGGGUCAAAAUGGCCCUUCGACUGUUUUAGAUUUGUUUGCCACAGUUUGUAAUGUUGGACUUUUAUGAAAACAUGUUUAUUGUUGUGUGAAGUUUGGGAUACAUGUGUUCCGUGGUAUUUGCACUGUUUUUUUUUUUUUUUUUUUUGCACAAGAUUCCAUGACGCAGGCUUUAAAAAAAUAAUUUCAAAUGAGUUGGGUAUUUUAGUUACAUUGCAGUACCAACUAAAAGCUAAAACAUUUCCCAGAUAGGAGUGUAAGUUACAAUACAGUUUUAAUGUGAUUUGUUGUAAUAAUGAUGUACACAUGCUUGAGGACAAUAAGUGUUAUGUUGGCAUGAUGGUGCUUUGUUUUUUGCGAUGUUCAGGGCAUGAAUGACACAUUUUGCCACUGUUUCUGGCUUAUGAUUCAAAGUUGUUAAAGCAGGGACAACAACCCUGUAACUUCUUGCUGUUUUUAAAUAAAACAGUUAAAAAAA